AUUGAACGCUGGCGGCAGGCCUAACACAUGCAAGUCGAGCGGAUGAAGGGAGCUUGCUCCUGGAUUCAGCGGCGGACGGGUGAGUAAUGCCUAGGAAUCUGCCUGGUAGUGGGGGAUAACGUCCGGAAACGGGCGCUAAUACCGCAUACGUCCUGAGGGAGAAAGUGGGGGAUCUUCGGACCUCACGCUAUCAGAUGAGCCUAGGUCGGAUUAGCUAGUUGGUGGGGUAAAGGCCUACCAAGGCGACGAUCCGUAACCGGUCUGAGAGGAUGAUCAGUCACACUGGAACUGAGACACGGUCCAGACUCCUACGGGAGGCAGCAGUGGGGAAUAUUGGACAAAGGGCGAAAGCCUGAUCCAGCCAUGCCGCGUGUGUGAAGAAGGUCUUCGGAUUGUAAAGCACUUUAAGUUGGGAGGAAGGGCAGUAAGUUAAUACCUUGCUGUUUUGACGUUACCAACAGAAUAAGCACCGGCUAACUUCGUG
rnacentral:rRNA from 1 species